rnacentral:rRNA from 1 species
GUUAUUAAAAUCUUUGGUUUGAUUUAAAAGAUUUUUUAAAUUUCAGGUCAAGAUGCAGCUUUUUAUAGUUUUAAUUAGCUACAUUUCAGUAAGUAUGGAUUUGUUUGAUGAAGGUUAUAGGUAAAAUUGAAUUUAGUUGUAAUAGAGGUUUAGAAUGAGGGUAUGAAAUAGGGAGUUA